ACUCUGGAGUUUAGUAGCUCUUCAUUUUGACUUUUUAAUGGAACCCUGAGGAGACCAUGUGCUGCUGCUGCCUUGUUCCGUUUUGUGUUUUCCAGUUUGAUACCUCACUCCCAAGAAGACUUAACAUGGAAUCUCAAGGCCUGUGAAGUUCAUCUCUCUAUCAUCCAAAGAAUUCAGAUUGGAAUUCUCCUGAAUGUCCUUUUGUAAUCUUCAUAUAAUGUCUACAUUGAGAUAAAUAAGUAAAAAGUACAGACAGGGAGACUCUAGAGUAAAUUGAACGAGUGAACAGGACUGUACCAAUUCCAUCCCCGUUCAGGGCAUGAACUCCCACGACUCAAAUUGUACUCGAAUCCAGAUCAGUCUCAAGUGACUUCACUGACGUCAGCCCUACUUUAGCAAGACUUUGUGGGUAAAGUUUUUCAAAGACAGGGAAGGUGUUGCCACUGGACACUGACUGGAAACUCUCUUGCUUUCACUGCCUUUCCCUUUUAUUAAGAUGAGACAUAACCAAUCAUAAUUAGGUGCACUUCAUUUUUAAGUUAAAGGUUAAAUUACUCUCCUGCACAAAAGUGUAUAGGAGUCGAAACGAGCUGGCAACCUACUGUAUGUAUGAACAAUGAAAAGCAAAUAAUGUUUCAACGGUGUGUGCCUGCAGCGUUCGUAAUGGGCCAUAAAUCCACUUUUAUCACUCCUGCAUUCCCAGGGAUGAAUGUCCCCCUCCGCCAAGCAUGAUAAGCUUUUUCGGAUCGAUGCGCCACGCUUGGCUGACGCAGAAGGCGCUCUCUCCACGUUGAAGCACUCGUUAUAACCUGGGGUCGCCGUUUCAUACACGUGAUGUGCGACGCCGGAGGACAUGCGAGUGAUUUUAACAAUUGAGGAUCACGUGGAGGGAAUGGUUCAAACAUCUGCUACAAACAGCAGGAG